UGCCAUGUCAGUCUCUCUUCAUAAAAUGCUAUCACAAUUUGUGGACAUUUCACAUUAGCUUCUUUUGCAAGAACCAGGUCAGCUUCAUCUGUGUCUUUCCAUUUCAUUAGGAACAUUAAAUCACCACAGGAAUCUGUUGCCCCAAUGAUCUUUUCUGGUUCCAGUCCUCUCUCAAAGCCCCGAGCGAUAUCAUUGCUCUGCUCUCUCUUUUUUUUAGAUUUGAUGUCAUCGGCACUGUUUGAGAAAUUGGAUUUCCUCUUGUUACUUUCUGACUUCUCC
rnacentral:lncRNA from 1 species